rnacentral:tRNA from 1 species
CGGGGUGUAGCGCAGCUUGGUAGCGCACCGGCUUCGGGAGCCGGGGGUCACCGGUUCAAAUCCGGUCACCCCGACCA